UUACGGCCAUAUUACGUUGAAACACCGGUACUCGUGCAAUCACUGAAAUUAAGCAACGUUGAACCUGGUCAGUACCGAGAUGGGUAACCGCUUGGGAAUACCAGAUUUUUG